CGAGUGGCGGACGGGUGAGUAAUGUCUGGGAAACUGCCCGAUGGAGGGGGAUAACUACUGGAAACGGUAGCUAAUACCGCAUAAUGUCUAACGGACCAAAGCGGGGGACCUCCGGGCCUCGCGCCAUCAGAUGAACCCAUAUGGGAUUAGCUAGUAGGUGAGGUAACGGCUUACCUAGGCGACGAUCCCUAGCUGGUCUGAGAGGGUGAUCGGCCACACUGGGACUGAGACACGGCCCAG
rnacentral:rRNA from 1 species